rnacentral:rRNA from 1 species
GAUUAAGCCAUGCAUGUGUAAGUAUAAAUAAUUUUACUUUGAAACUGCGAAUGGCUCAUUAUAUCAGUUAUAGUUUAUUAGAAAUAUUUUACUACUUGGAUAACCGUAGUAAUUCUAGGGCUAAUACAUGAGUAAAACCUCAACUUCGGAAGAGGUGUGUUUAUUAGUAUGAAAACCAUAUAUCUUCGGAUAUAAUAGUGAGUAAUAAUAACCUUUCAUAUCGUAUGUCGUAAGAUAACGAUAGUUCUUUCAAGUUUCUGCCCUAUCAGCUUUCGAUGGUAGUAUAUGGGACUACCAUG